CGGAACUUAGCUCAGUUUGGUAGAGUACACCGUUUGGGACGGUGUUGUCAGAAGUUCGAAUCUUCUAGUUCCGA
rnacentral:tRNA from 1 species